rnacentral:rRNA from 1 species
GGAUUAGAUACCCUGGUAGUCCUAGCUGUAAACGAUGGAUACUAGACGUAGGAACUGGAUUGACGGUUUCUGUGUCGCAGCUAACGCGUUAAGUAUCCCGCCUGGGGAGUACGGCCGCAAGGCUAAAACUCAAAUGAAUUGACGGGGACCCGCACAAGCGGUGGAGCAUGUGGUUUAAUUCGAUGCAACGCGAAAAACCUUACCUACUCUUGACAUACUUGGAAGCUCUUGUAAUGAGAGUGUGCCUUUUGGAGCCAAGAUACAGGUGCUGCAUGGCUGUCGUCAGCUCGUGCCG